rnacentral:sRNA from 1 species
GUAUUGUAAAAUAACAAAAAUAUCCAGUUAUUACAUAUUAUCUUGUCUAUCAUUCGAUCUGAAUUUGUCCCCGAUCUAAUUCUAUUACUCAUUCGAUAUGAACUUAUCCCCAAUAUAACAUAUUAUUAAAAUAUGUAAAUAUGUAGAUGAAGAUAAUAACGCUCAACUAAUCUGUACACCAAAAUAGAUGGCGAAAAAUCUAAAUAAAAUUCAAAAUUCUUAAAUGAAAAUAAUUGCAUAUAAGAUGUAGGAUUCAUAAUAAUAGAGCAAGAUGAUGGACAAAACGUAUAUGUAACAGAGAAUUUCUAUUCGGAGACAAGAUUUGGAGACUAAAACAAAAGUCUGUCACCAAUUGUUCUCCGCUAACAGGUAAUCAUGUCUCUUAAUGCAUUAUAUAUUACGUUGUCCCCCGCUAGCAGGUAAUCAUAUCUCCUAAUGUAUUAUAUAUUACGUUGUCCCCCGCGAAAUUUCUCCGCUAACAGGUAAUCAUGUCUCCUAAUGCAUUAUGUAUUACGUUAUCCCCCGCUAGCAGGUAAUCAUAUCUUCUAAUGUAUUAUCUAUUACGUUGUCCCCCGCAAAAUUUUGGAUAACCAAUUUUCUUAUACAAGUCAAUUUUAAAUACCCAAUAACAACAGUAGAAGACAUCUGUUCUCUAUUAUUUUUUCUCCUAAUCCUUUAUGCUUCCAUCAUGAUUUUUCGUCCUGUAUCAUCACAUCUGCCAAAAGCUGUCACCAUCUAAGUCAGAGUCCCUGACCCACCUUAAGGGCAUUUUCGUCCACGAAUUACCAAAUGUGGUAGACUUUAUAAGGUGAGGUAGAAUAUGGUAGGGAAUGUAAGUUUCAGAGGGGAAUAUGGAAGAUUUUGCAAAAUUCCCUUAUUAUUACUUAAUUUAGGGUCAAUGUACCUUUUUUCU